rnacentral:rRNA from 2 species
UGGGGAAUAUUGCACAAUGGGCGAAAGCCUGAUGCAGCAACGCCGCGUGAGCGAUGAAGGCCUUCGGGUCGUAAAGCUCUGUCCUUGGGGAAGAAAAAAAUGACGGUACCCUUGGAGGAAGCCCCGGCUAACUACGUGCCAGCAGCCGCGGUAAUACGUAGGGGGCGAGCGUUAUCCGGAAUUAUUGGGCGUAAAGAGUGCGUAGGUGGUUUCCUAAGCGCGAGGUUUAAGGCAAUAGCUUAACUAUUGUUCGCCUUGCGAACUGGGUUACUUGAGUGCAGGAGAGGAAAGUGGAAUUCCUAGUGUAGCGGUGAAAUGCGUAGAUAUUAGGAGGAACACCAGUGGCGAAGGCGACUUUCUGGACUGUUACUGACACUGAGGCACGAAAGCGUGGGGAGCAAACAGG